AUUUUUUCUAAUUUUUCAUCUAAUUUUUUUCAUCUCUCCUAGUUUUCAGUCUUCUUUUAAAGUUGGCUCUAGUGAUAUAUGGGGUGAAGCUGUUGGAAGCUUCAUCGACUGGAAAUCAUGGAGGUGGGCAAGCUCUUUCCCAGUUCGUCCAGCGUGGUUUUAAUCCCUAGAUGCUCUAUGGUUUUUUGCUUUUCUCCUCAUUUUCAUAUGGGUUUGAUAAUAUUGAGCAGGGGAAAUUUUGGGUUGUAUGGGUGCCAUUAGUAUUUGAUAUAAUGUUGAUGUUCUUCC